CCACCCUCUCUAUCGAGCAUACAUAGGAUGUGCCAGUCUAUCUGAAAUAUUGAUCCCCGACUUAAUGCUCUUACGAUCAAGAAUGUUUAAGAUUAGGGUUUUAGGAUUUUAGGUCUCAUUAGCAUGAUCCAUUCAUAUCUCCUAAAACCAUUGCCCUAAUCUUUAGGAUUCAUCAUAAUCUUAGACAUAAUAAGAUGCAGCUAAUAUGAUGAAUCAGUAUCUCAAAUAAUAAAUAUCAUUUCAUGAG
rnacentral:lncRNA from 1 species